rnacentral:rRNA from 1 species
UACGGAGGGUGCGAGCGUUGUCCGGAAUCACUGGGCGUAAAGGGCGCGUAGGCGGCCUGAUAAGUAGGGGGUGAAAUCCUGCGGCUUAACCGCAGGGCUGCCUUCUAAACUGUCAGGCUCGAGCACAGUAGAGGCAGGUGGAAUUCCCGGUGUAGCGGUGGAAUGCGUAGAGAUCGGGAAGAACAUCAGUGGCGAAGGCGGCCUGCUGGGCUGUUGCUGACGCUGAGGCGCGACAGCGUGGGGGAGCAAACGA